rnacentral:rRNA from 1 species
UACGGAGGGUGCGAGCGUUGUCCGGAUUUACUGGGCGUAAAGAGCGCGCAGGCGGUCGUUCAAGUCGCGUGUGAAAGCCCCCGGCUCAACUGGGGAGGGUCACGCGAUACUGAUCGACUCGAAGGCAGGAGAGGGUAGUGGAAUUCCCGGUGUAGUGGUGAAAUGCGUAGAUAUCGGGAGGAACACCAGUGGCGAAGGCGACUACCUGCCUGUUU